UAUAUAUAUACACACAUACACAUAUAUAUUUUUAUCCUUGAAUGAUCCUGAUGGCCUUUCAAUGAAGUCACUAAAAAGAAGAAGAAUGAUCAAUGCGAAACAACUACCGAUCGUAGUUCCGUGAAUAUCACUGAGAAGCGAGCUAUGAAAUAUAACCAAUCUAUCAGAAAAACAUCCAGGAAGAAAAAACUAUAGCAACAGUUUCGACAAAACAUUUUUAAUGUUUUACGGAAGAGAUCGUCUACAAAAAUCUCGAAUCUCGAAAAAAAUGGGCUCCAAGUCGAUUUUCUAAGGAAUUUUAUACCUCUUCAAAUGUAAUCUUUCAGACCUUGCCAACAAGCUUGAUAUCAUAAAGAAGAUAUAUACUCUGCUUGAACAUCACCCAAGUAUAAGAUAUAAACUUACGUCUUUGAACGAUCUUAAUGGAAAUUCAAAUAAGCCCGAAUCACGAUAAGAUUAACUGAAACCAUAGACCAUAAGCUAAUAAAUAUCAUUAAGGAGUAGACUGUCAGAUGUACUCAACUAUCGCCUAUCGAAGAAGAAACACCUCAGAAGAGAAAGGAUCACGUCUAUAGUUUUGCUUCUUUUAGAAGCUAACAGAGUUGUUUACUCUCUGAACCAUCAUGGUGUUCAAAAAGAGCUUUUACUUCCUACAAUGAAAGGUAACGUAACAUCUAGAAAUUUGUAUUUUGCUACUAUAUUUUAUAAUAUUUAAAAACGGCUAUGUACAUGUGGAAGAGAACGUACAACGUCUGAAGACGUAACAUCACUGAAGAUUAUAUACCAAUCAUCUCUACAUCAUAACACAAUUUCGAAAGUGUCUUUAUUUAUUAUAAAAUUUUCCAAAACAUUUUGAGAAAUAUUUUAGAGAAUAUUAAAAUAUAUAUUUAAUAUAUACUUAAUACACAUAUUUAAUGUUUAAUAUAUAUUUGAUAUUUAGUAAAUUAAACUAAGAGUAAAUAUUGCACAUUACAUAGUACAAUCAUACAAUACAUAUCAAAGAUUAAAUUGAAUAUAAGACUGGUUAUGUGUGAUAUAUGUGUGAUAUCAGAGAAAUAUACUGUAUAUGUAUAUAAAUGUGGAGCAUAUAUGAAAUAUUUUUGCUAUAUUUUAUCUUGAUGUUGCAACUGGGAAGGAAACUUUAUAUAAAGAAGAAGAAGUUAACGUUAAAUGUUUCACUUUCUAUAGUAGUAAUAUUCGAUUUAUAUGCAAAGAUAUUAUUUUACGAUACUUAUAAAACAUAAUAUUAACAUGUACAAUCUCACAGCGAUGUUAUCUUGUCAUUAGUGUAAUUAUUAUAUAAAGUCCAAAUCAUCUACUCGAAGAUAAAUGAGACUAAAGGAGGAAAGUCUCAUAGUUUAUAUGUAGAGGAACGAGAAUAAUGAAGCGUGAAUAAUAGUGGCGCGAUUAUCGCUUAUGAUCCUGAAGAAGUCGUCAAUUUUUAACUACUAUUUACUAAAUUUAGUAAAUAUAACUAUUGACUAUGAUGCACACUAAGUCCCGUAACUUGAUGGCGAUCGAACGAAAUCUCUAAACGUAUGACAUAGAAACUCACUCUGUUAUUUAUCCAAAUAGUUCCCAAGUUCAUCAGUGCAGUUAAAAAUAACACUUUCCUUUGCAAUGUUAAUACGAUUAUUACAAUACGUGUAAUUAUUCAGCUACAAUCCGAUGAGAUUAGAAGUCUGUGCGGACAUAGCUUCUCUGAGUUAUAUUUCGUUACAAUUUACAGAUUACAAUGCAUUUCCAUACGAUUAAGAAGUACCUCUGACAGAUAUUUUUUUUCUCUCUUUUUAAGCGUAUGUUACUUUAUAGAGUUGCGUUUUAAUGCUACACAAUUGUAAAUAAGGCGAAUUGAGAAGUACGCUUUUAAAGGUAAAGGUAUACGAAACUAAAUACUUUAGCAAUUUCAUCUACACGCCGGUAAAAGUUAUAUUUCUGGGGAACUGUUAUUGCAAAAGUAGAUUUAAUAGGGAUAACCACACAGUGAAAAAAAGGAUUUUACCAUACACACGAAUUAUCAUAGUUGAGAGGAAAUAGGAUAUUUUGUUUUAAUUUUAGAUAAGACAAGACGCAAUUAGUUAUUACACUAACUAUCGAAGCUAAUAUACUCUCUCUGAAUAUAUAUCAGUAUAACUGAACAAUUCGGACAACUCACGGUUUUACAGGACUAGCUACAGAUAGUUUCAUAUAUUAUGUGUAAUUAUUGUACACCAACUCCCGCGCUUUUCUUUGGUAGCUCUAUUUUAAGCAUUUUAGCCAGGAAAUAUAUAGCAGCAGAUAAAACUGAAUUGCCGAGUACUCUGCCCACUUUAUUGUGCGCUAUUAUUGCUAUUUGGCAAUAAAGGCAUUUACUCUUAUGUAAUUUAUUUUUACUACACUUUAAUGUAAUUUAAGAAUCUUAGCCAAAUCGUAAUUUUAGUAUAUAUAUAUAUGUAUAUAUAUAUAUAUAUAUAUACAGUUUUUACUUCAGCUAUCAUAAAAUAUCCCAUUUCAACUUGGUAACUUGAGACGUGGGACAAUUUUUAUUUGAUUGUAUUUUAUUUAUUGUGUCUAGUCGACGAGAUUGAUGAGUUCUUGAUACAAAGACGAAUCCUGUGACAUUUUCAUAUUGAUGUAUUUAGUCCGCUAUAUAUUCCUCUAUCGAGAUAUCUGAUUAUAGAGACUGAUUUUAUGUGAUACCUCACCGAAUUUUUUACAAGUAGAUAGAAAUCCCGCUUAUACGUAAUGUUAAUACUACUCUAUUAGUAUUAAGGCUCCCCUGUACUCGCCGUAGCUGUUUUAUGACGUGAGAAAAGAAUAUCUCUAUGCUCAGAAUUCUUGCCGUUCAGCACACUCGUAAAAUACUCCGAACACUUUUCUUUCGCUCGAGCGACCAAUAAAUAGCCGUAAAAUUAACGCGACAAAAUCACGAGAAAAGAUGAGUUAAAAGGAGAAAGGUUAUACACACGUCGUGUUAAUCUUGUGGUUAUUUGUUGAAUCGAACAAAAAAAGAAAAGUUUGUUUUACACAAGUGUGCUGAAUCAAUCAUAAAUGCCAUUUUGUGGGCAUAUCUUUUUAUUUGAACGUAUACGACGUUCCUGACGUCAUCAAACAAGAGGACUGUAGCGAGGGACCAGGAGCCUUAAAUAAUAUUUUAGAAUUCGGCGCUACUUACGUGAAUCAUUUCAGAUUAUGACGUGGCGAGCAGAGAAAUUGCGAGGAAUGUACGCACAAGCUACUUGAAACCGGUGAUAUAUCGUUAAUAAUAGCGCAAUUAAUUUGUUGGAACAGGUUUAUAAAAUAUGGUGGGAACUAUGCUUUCCGUCCAAUAAUUCCUAACGCAAAAAUGUAGAGUAAUUAUCACAGUACUUGUCGUACAUAUAGGUCGUAAUCUAGGACAAUUCAAACGUGACUUCCAAAAUCGUUUCGUGUUUUUACACGACGCAGUAGUAGUAGGUAGCAGAAUUUUCUCGAUAUCCUGAAGAUCCGCUCCAUCGAGUUGAGCAAUUUUAUCGGUGUAAUUUGACAUAUAAAUAGCAAAGAUUGCGCUUGUGCGUAGCUCCUCGUUCUUGGUGUCAUAACGCAAGAUGAUUGACGUUGGUACAGUCAACUUUUAAGGAUAAUCACAUUCCUCUUUAUUUUUAUUUUUAGAUCGUAAUUUUUACGGAGUAAAGACAUGGUAUCAAUUGAUAUAUUACAGCUGUGUAAGAGAUGACUUUUCUUACGUUAAGUUACUUGAAUGAUUAAGAUGCAUUGAGUACAAAUAUUGUCUUAGGAUUUCUUGCUUCUGACGAAGUUAGAAGGAAAAACGAUCUUUAUAAGUGGUUUGUGAGAAGAGAUACAGGAGAAUUAUUUCGAAUCGCGUCAUUAUGAGUGUACCAUAUAGUGUGUAUGUGCGCGCGUAUAGUUACAGAGAAAAAGAUUUUAUAAUCACCAAAGUUACAUGUUGCAAGAGCACAUAUGCAGAUCAACCGUAAACUCGUGUAUACGCUUCGUCCAAGUGGAACGUGCACGAGAAUUUACAGUCAUCCUAUAUAACACAAUAAUGUUUUAUAUUUAUCGUAACAACAUCGCGCUCCACUUUCAAGUAUGAUUCAUUUCAUGUUAAAAAGAGAAGAAAAAAAAAGAGUAACGUGGGACUUACACGAAAGAGCUAGUUUCAAGUUUAUAACCGCCCCCAAUAGAUAGCAAAAAUAAAUGAAGUACUUACGUUUCCUAGAACAAAAUUUACCGGGAUACUUUCAUCAGCUUCGUGUGUGAACACAAUGUGUUCCCGCUCGAUGGGUGUAUAUUCCCAAAAUUGCAGUUGAAUAUAUACUUCAAUAUAGUGUGCAGUGCUAAACAAAGUUAUAUACAAAAGUAAUAAGUAAACGCCAACCCUCACAUAAGCAAUAUCGCUUCGUCAUAGGAUCAGUGUUACAUUACACGGUAAUAAUUUUUCUUUCGUUUAUUCUCAGGGAUGGUAUGAUGGAAGCUUUAUAACUGUUUCUCUUUAUUGCGUUAUAUCGUACAUAUUUUUGUUGAAAGUACAUGUCCGUUGACGGUGUAAACCUAAUGUUUUUUUGUUUCUUUUCCUUUAUUUCUGCAAAUUUAAUAAUAAAAUGUUAUCUUGUAUUCUUUCACUCUUUAGAUCUAAGAGCACAUGGAGCUGCAUCCUCUUUUAAAUCGCCAUUCAACAGANAUAUAUAUAUAUAUAUAUCGCGUAAGGAACUUUUAUCGAGUCUGUUAAAAAGAAAAUCUAGUUAUAUGGGAGAGAGAGAAAAAUCGGGGGUGAACGUGAAUUUGCACGGAAUAUUAUUAAAAGCGAAAAUUGAAUAUGUUUCGAUUGAUCUCUUUCAUAUGUUUUUAAACAUAUAUUUGUUCGUCUACCGCGUGAAACCUGUACCGCGUGAAACGUGUUGAAACAUGUAGCUAGAUUAAUGAAAAUACAAAGCGAGUGCUUUAAGUGAGUCAUGUAACAUAGUUUUAAUUCCGAUCAAUUUUAGGUCUUUACAAGAACGCUAAUAUCUCUCACGUGAAAUUAUUCUCCUCGUGUAAGUUCAACAAUUGUAGAUCUGCGACAUGUUAUUGUUUAAUUUAAUUUUCACACACAAUAUCGGUUUGCGUUCUGCGUGUAAAAAUAUUGUAUUAUCAUAAGUUAAUCCACGAUGUACAACAAUGCAGAGACUGAAAAAGAGAAUAAAAGUUCAAUUUUUUAAUA